CCUACGGGAGGCAGCAGUGGGGAAUUUUGGACAAUGGGGGCAACCCCUGAUCCAGCCAUGCCGCGUGAGUGAAGAAGGCCUUCGGGUUGUAAAGCUCUUUCAGCCGGAACGAAACGGUU
rnacentral:rRNA from 1 species